AGAUGGGUAUGAGAUAUUGAUUUUAGUUCAAUACUACUUGGCUUUCAUCAGAAGUGCAAUGGGUAUGUAGCUAAUUAAACAUAUUGAUUACUUUGAAUUGAUUAUUUUCAUUGAUAUGUUGAUCACAUAGAAUUAAAUAAUAUGUUUUUCGAAGAAACAAAUAUUAAUCAUUGCAGUUAUGUUUUAUCCUUAACUCCUCGAGUUUUAAUCCUUUUAUUUUACUAACUCAUAUAAUUAACAAUGACAGUAGCAACCUGUUAUAAGUGGAUAAAAAUUAUGUCAGUAACACAAAUUAUGGAUGACUUCUUCUAUAAAAAAAAUUAAUCCAACCGAGACAUCGUUUCAGUAUAAACCGACGAUGGCUAACCUAGCUAUGUCCCAUAUUGUCUCUACUAAAAUGGCUAUCUCAUUAAGAGUCUGAAAUGGGCAUGAAAUUGAUUUUAAAAUAGGGAGCGUAAAGCCGAGGAUAGAAAUGGUCAAAAUGACUAUUUACAAUCAAUUAUUGAUGGCAAUUGGUGACUUGCUGCGAUUUUUUUAAUCAAAUUUUGAGAAGCACAGAAUGCUUUCUUACAUGAAAUGAUUUUUCACAGAGUCUGAGCUCUGAAAAUGAAAAUCGACACGUCAUUGAAUGUUUUGAGCAACAGGAAAAUCGUUAUCCUCUAAAAACUCGGCCUGUUUUGAGUGGCAUGUUCGCGGCGACUGUUUCAAAAGCCGUUGCACGGGGAUUCCGAACUACACAACGUAACAAAAAAAAUUGAGCGGUGGCCUUCGCAAUUUUUGCACCCUCUCUAAAUUACGAUUAACCAAAAUCGGAGAAAACUAUUCGAAUACAUCGCUAAACGAAAAAGAUAAGGACAUGCCUAGUAAAUAUAUAACGAUAAUACCAACAAAUCAAGAUUCUGUAAUAAAAAAUAAUUCUUAGUACACAAUCAUGACUAUGGCAACUAUAUUUUAAGAGUCUUGCUUACACAGAAUAAACAGACUGGCUCAUACUUGAUUGUAAUUGAUAGUGGUUGUAUACCAAUAAUUAAUACGUUCGCUACAAAGUGCAGUGCCCGAUGCGGACGAAUAGCUUACAGUCUAAUUAUUUCUCAGCGAGUAUGUUUUGGUACACUCGGCACUUUCAAAUGAAUAUUUAUUUAAUGUUGUUCGAUAUCUAUUUUUGUGUCCCAACGUUUACUUUUAUUAAUGUAUAAAAUGUGAGUUUUAAUUUAUUUAGCAUAUCGUUAUUAAGGGGUUACAUAUAUUUAAAACAGUUCGAAAAGCGAAAAAUAUAUUGUCAAAAUUCUUAAAUUUCAUUGUCUUGCAGUCUUGAGAGAUGCCUGUUUGGUAUCAAAAAAAUCCAAUGGUCAUGUCGUAACAUUUCUCAAAUAAAUACUGUAGAUAGUAAUACAUUAAGCUACAAUUUAGCUUUUUUUAAUUUUAAUCCAGCUAUGUCAGUACUGCAGUAUGCCGUGAGGAAUUCCCACUAUUCAGACUAUUUGAAUACCGUACCAUUAACUAUAAAAAUAGAAUAGGAUUCGGUAUUCUGGACUCAAUUCAUGUAUUCUAGAUUACUGAAAUAGUAAAUUAUUCCAUAUUGCCCAUCCCUACUGCCCUAGUAGCCACUUUGAUUCACAAGAGCCAGAACUCAGAACAAGUUGCCCGCAUGAGUGACCUUGUAAAAUCUAUAUUAUCCACAUUAAAAUGGGGGUUUCAAACAGUUUUAUACUACAGAGCAGACCAAAAUGAUUGAUUGUUCUAAUAUAUUUCUCAUCCUGCAGUUCUGUCAUUAUCAUGUUACAGUGUUUUAGACAGGAAGAAAAACUUGGGGACCCUUCAAAGCAUAAAUAAGAUAGAUCCUAUGGCAGUAUGAUGGUCAACAAACAGACAAAUUACCACCGGUACGGUAUCUAUCUCCUGCCUUAACAUUAGUUGAUAUCUCUUUACCUAGCGGUGUCUUUGUUCCAGUCGCCCAUGACCGUGAUUCGCCAGAACAUCUAGUCCAGUAAACCGAGUAAAGAAUUACAACACCACUCAGCCACUAGGUGCGUCCGAGCUUGAAGGGUUGGAAUGGAGUGUAUUCAUUAUCGCCGCUGAGCGUCGCCAUUUUGUUUUUUUAUGUGGGAAUGCGCGGGAAAGUACUUUCUUCUACCCCGCGACGUUGGACUGGUUUGGGCUUUUCGAUUGCAAUGGCGGCUCGUGCGUCUGGUGGUUCCAAAUUGCAUUGCUGCGUACCGUUGUGUAAUGGCGAUAGCCGUUACUCACCAGACUUAUCGUUCCACUCUUUCCCCAAAAAUGAAGAGAGCGUGGAUUCACAGUAUUCGUCGCGAUCCUGGUAAACAUUUUCAAAUUACACCAAGCACGCGAGCUUUUGGCAACCAUUUCAGACCCUAAGACAUAUAUGAGAAGCCUUUUGGUCGACGCCGUUUGCACCACAACUCAGUUCCAUCAAAAUUUAGCUGGACAAAGUUAAUUGCAGAGAGACCACUGCCAAAUAGACUGAGCAAUUCUUAAAAUGCUGUAAAAUGGAGUGAACUUCACUAUCACAUACCAACAACGCAAAAGCAAUGUGAUUAUUGGACACGAAAUGAACCUAAGAAUGUUUCCCCAAGCAUCGACUUCUUUGUUUACUUUGUGACAUUGGCCAAUCAGCAAGAUGCAAAAAGUGACGUAACAAUGCAUCCGCUCAGACACUUUUCUCACUUGCACAGAUUUUAAAGCGUGGUCGUAAACAAUGCCUCGUUUUCGCAUUUUUUAAUUAUAUUCGUUAGCUUUGAGCUGUGUUUCGGACAUUUAAAUAUAAAUCAAAUAAUUCAAUGAUCACUUUGUCUUUCUAGAAGUUUCAGUUUAAUUGCAGUAAUCAAAAAGUAGUGUAAAAAUUAGAGAUGUACCGAUAUCAGUUUUGUCGCCGAUACCGACCAAAAACGCCGAUACUGAUAUUAGAAAAUGCCGAUAUUGCCGUUAUUCCGAUACCAAUAUUCCGAUACUAUGUAUUUAUCACAUCAAGUGUGCAGGGCAGACGGGUUAAAAACAAUGGUCUUUGAGCAUUAUUCAUACUACACUUUAUUCCAGAUUGAAAAAGGGAUAUACACAUGGCGUCAGUGUAUGUGCACUGACGCUAGUAACAUCGGUGUUCAAUUAGAAAACUCGUAGGCAGGGAUGUCCAAUUUGAAUUUAAUAUUAGUAUCGCGACCUUCUUAGCGCCGCCGUCCACGUUUUGAUUGAAAACAUUUCAAAUAUAUUUUGUUCAGUGUUUUAUCGUAAUCGUGUGUCGCAAUAAAUUGCAUUACCGACAUUAAAAGACUUCAAUCAACGCCGACAAGAAAUACCAAGAACACGUCGACGAUGUUUUUGAUUUUAAUAUUUUAUAGUAUUUUGCAAUUAUUAUCUGAUAUUUCGAGAUAGUGUGGGCGGCCACGGCAAUAAAUCUACCAGGAAAUUUUGUAGUGGAAGAAUUAAAAUUAAUGGGAUCACAAUAUUUAAUACUUACGAUAUCGAUGGACUAAAAUACACUCGCGCUGGACGAUGAACAUUCAGAAUUUAUAAUCGUGCCAAAAAGUGCGUGUGCUGUUGAUGAAGACUUUGAUUCUACUGUAUGAUUUAUAACUGGGAGCCGAGUUGCUCCAUUUUUUUGCUUGUCAGUAAACACCCCAAUUCCCAAGUAUAAAUACUGUAAUUCUUAUUAUAUAUACUGUAUUCGGACAUUCAGUAUCGAAAAUAUUUUUUAGAAAGUAUUCGAAAUAGUCAAUGGUUGUGGCCAUCUCUGCUCAUAAGGUUUGGCUACCAGGGUGGUAAAAUAAAUGAAUGUUUAGCCUACUUUUCUUAUCAAAUUGAUACGUGCGCGAGAUUUUGUGCCAACAUACCGACAUAUUUUACAUUUAACACAUUAGAAAAUCCACUAAUAUUUGAAUGAUAUAUUCACAAUUACUAUUUUUAUUAAAAUAAAAUUAUCAAUAUAAAAAUUUGGCAGCGAAAAUACCCAAAUUAGUUGAGCGUUUGACUGAUAGAUAGCUAAAAACAGGUCAGAAUCCUAUUCCCGUUUCUAAUCGCGGGGGUGGGGACGUGCAUGGCUCAUAGCUCACGAUCCCUCAAAGCAAAAAAUAAUUUAAAUAUCAUCAUUCAAACUGAUUUUUUUGAAACAUUCUUGAUCAUAUAAAAAAGGUCAAUAUAUCGGAAAUAUCGGUCUUCAUUUAGCCGAUACCGGUACACUACCGAUACCGAAAAUUUGGCCGACAUUGCCUAUACCGAUACAUCUCUAGUAGAAAUAGCUUUGAUAGACUAGGCUAAAAAAAUUAACGGUACUUUUAAAGAACAGAUUAUUUAAUGCUAUGAAUCAGAAUGAUGGUUUGAAACAAAUACCCCAUUUUACAGGCGCCAACUCGCAAAACUAUUCUCAAAAUAAGCACCGAAAAUUUUAC